rfam:Oryza rufipogon genomic scaffold, chr03
AAAAAGGCAAACCCUGGGUUUCCGUGUCCAACUUUGACUGUCCGUCUUAUAUGAAAUUUUUUUAUAAUUCGUAUUUUCAUUGUUGUUAGAUGAUAAAACAUGAUUAAUAUUUUAUACAUGACUUGUCUUUUUAAUUUUUUUCAUAUUUUUUUCAAAUAAGACGAACGGUUAAACAUUGUGCACGAAAAUCAGAGUUUGUCUUUUU